rnacentral:lncRNA from 1 species
AGGCUGUGGCGCUUGACGUGACUCCUGAUUCUACUACUUGGGUGUUUGGGCCGUUCGCCUAACCUCCUUGUGCUCUAGUUUCCUUGCAGUUGAAGUGAGGGCAAUAACUCCAAAACGAUGCCGUGCUUAUGAGCGGUAACUGAGUUAAUGUGUGUGAAGUGCUCAGAACACUGUCUGGCACAAAGCAAGUACUUACACGUGUUUCAUAAAAUAAAAUAAAAUAAAAUAAAAUAAAAUAAAAUCUCAUUGAAUUUUCUUGACAACUAAGGUUGUGAUAAUCCUUGUUGGCUCUGUUACUCACUUUUACGCUUCCAACCAUGCUCACUUUCUCUCCUAUUAACAGCUGACUUAAUCACCAGCUGACUUAGUCAUCUACUUCUGCCUAUUUCCUUCUCCCCAAAGAUAUUCAGUAAUUGUCCUCUGACGCUCAGACUGUCUGUGAUACCAUUCCUCAUUUCUUCCUCUCUCUAUGCUGGCACCACUGUUCUCAGAACACCAAACCAAUGGUUCUUGAUUUCUGCCUCUUGUGCCCUGCCUUCUCCUUCUGAUGUUAAAGUGUCUCUAGUCACUUCUUUGUUGUUGUUUGGUUAGUGCUGGGCAUUGAACCCACGGCCAUAUGCAUGUUAGGUUCUAUGACUGAGGCUAUAGCUCUAGCCCUAAUGUUUAUCCUUUAAAAAUUAAAAAUAGCUGCCAGAACCUUCUCUUAGCUUCACCUCUCUUUGAAACUACUGAUGUACUGAUUUUUCUCCUCAUCUUUGAGUGGCACACCCUCCCCAUUCUGCUUUCCUGCCAUUUUAUGGAAACUGUUCCUUAUCCUUCGGGUUACUUUGUACGAUUUUCUUGACCUUUGCCCUUUAUUUUAUCCUUUGGUUUGCAAAGCAAAGCUUUGUUUUUUAGAUCGCACUCAUACCCUGUGCAUCAACCUACUGCUGUGUCUUCUACUCCAGUCCCAUGGCUCCCUUCCCCUAGAUUCCGUCUGCAAUCUCACUUCCAUCCUUUCUUCAUUUGUAACCAUACUCACUCCAUGACCUCAUCUGUCUUUUGUGUACUAAUGAUGCCCAGGUCCUUUGCCCUUGACCUUUCUAGGCUGAUGCUUUGCCUGCCCCAGAAGGAUUUUCUAGCUGCAUACAAGACAUCUCGAUCCAGAUGUCCUUCCUGUUUGGUUUAUCUUGGUACUCAUAUUUCCAGAGCAAAACCAUUCUUAUCACAAUCUAAUUGCUCUUCUAUCUGUAUUUUCUUCUUGAAAAAAUACCAUUAGCCAUUCUCAUUCGAGGCAUUUGACAGUUCUAGGGUUGAUUCCUGAAUAACUGCAUAGAAACCAUCUGGGUGAAUGGGGCCACGUGCUGACCAUAAACCCUUGAGCCUUCGCCCUCUGAGUGCUUGAUUCAGAAGGUCUGGGUAGCAUUAGGAAUCCUCUAUUUUUCUAAAUUUGGGACUGCUGAUGAAAACUGAAAUUUGUUCCCUGUCAUAGUUUAGAUCUAAAAUAGUCUCCCAAAGCUUUAUGUGGUGAAGGCAUGGUUCUCAAUUUAGCAAUACCCAGUGUGUGUGUGUGUUUGGGUGUGUUGAUGGUAGUAUGGUACAUGCUGCCUUGGGCAUGUAUGAAGUUAGAUGAUAGUUCAUGGGAGUGGUUCUUUUCCUUCACCAUGUGGAUCCUGGGCAUAAAACUAAGGUUGUCAGGUUUAGAAGUAACUUUCUGAGCCAUGGCACCAACCCAGAAUUCUUAUUAAAGUAUAGGUGCCAGGGUCUAGAUCUGGAAACUUAACUUAGCAGAUGCAGAGGGGAGUUGGGGCUUUUGCAUUUGCGCCUGACAUCCUAGGUUAUUUUGGCUCUGCUUGUUGACACCAGUGUCACGCAGAGUCAAAGACUGACUCCUUCAGGGCACCAGAACUCUUUUGAGCCUCCAACUAGUUUCUCUCCUCUCCUCCAGCCGUGUCCACACCCUCCUUGGUUGCUGCUCGGGCACUCUUUGUGCUGCCUUCUGUGCCUGGACCAUCCCUCUGUGCUCAGUACUUAGUAACUCUGCCUAAUCCCGUGAGGCUCGGGUUUCACUUUUUCUGUGACGUCUAUCCUGCCCGAAGGUCUUCCUUCUCAUAGCAUAUUGUUCUUGCUGCUAGGUCAGCAAGUACACAUGAUACUGUCUUACAGAAUUUCAUACUUGACUUUGCCCAUGCCAGUCUGAGUCUCUGAUGGCAGGAAUUCUUUCUCACUCAUUUUUUCCCCUCAGUGUACCAUGUGGAUGCGUGAAUCAGUUCAGCGAGGUUCUGUAAGGUGAACAUUUUCAGCACUAGAAAGAGCAGAAAACAGAAGACCGACCUUUGGUGAAUUUAUAUAUUUAAAAUAAGG